UUCACAUUGUACAUGCCCUUCAUCCAAAUCAUCAUCAAACCCAAACCACCACCCACCCCACCACCACCACCUCCACCCCCUAGCCAUGGAUACUGUACAGUGUCCUAUGAACCCACAAAUAUAUCAACAACAGUACAUUUGUCUUUAAUCCGUUCUAGCACAGCUGGAAUCCCUGGUUGCCAUGGUAUCAACAGCCGUUACCAUUUUUAUGCUGCCAAGGUUUUACUCCAACGAGCACACAUUCCGAGGAUCUAUCAGACAUUACUAUUACCACGAAUUUCAUCACCCACUUUAUGUUCAAUAUCAAAUACAUGCAUGGUUACAUUCAAAGUUCUUCAUACUGGAGCCUUUACCAGCGAGACACGAGCGCCAGCUGACGACACCGGGAAGUUUAGUCACGUGAGAUGAGAGUUGUGUCCCUUUGACACAGGA